UACGUAGGGCGCAAGCGUUGUCCGGAAUUAUUGGGCGUAAAGAGCUCGUAGGCGGCUUGUCACGUCGGUUGUGAAAGCCCCGGGGCUUAACCCCGGGUCUGCAGUCGAUACGGGCUAGCUAGAGUGUGGUAGGGGAGAUCGGAAUUCCUGGUGUAGCGGUGAAAUGCGCAGAUAUCAGGAGGAACACCGGUGGCGAAGGCGGGUCUCUGGGCCGGUACUGACGCUGAGGAGCGAAAGCGUGGGGAGCGAACAGG
rnacentral:rRNA from 1 species